UACGUAGGGAGCAAGCGUUGUCCGGAAUUAUUGGGCGUAAAGCGCGCGUAGGCGGCUCUAUAAGUCCGUUGUGAAAGUCAAAGGCUCAACCUUUGAAAGCCGAUGGAUACUGUAGAGCUAGAGUCCGGAAGAGGCGAGUGGAAUUCCUGGUGUAGCGGUGAAAUGCGCAGAUAUCAGGAGGAACACCGGUGGCGAAGGCGGUUCUCUGGGCAUUUCCUGACGCUGAGGAGCGAAAGUGUGGGGAGCGAACAGG
rnacentral:rRNA from 1 species